GACGAACGCUGGCGGCGUGCUUAACACAUGCAAGUCGAACGGAAGGGCCCUGCUUUUGUGGGGUGCUCGAGUGGCGAACGGGUGAGUAACACGUGAGUAACCUGCCCUUGACUUUGGGAUAACUUCAGGAAACUGGGGCUAAUACCGGAUAGGAGCUCCUGCUGCAUGGUGGGGGUUGGAAAGUUUCGGCGGUUGGGGAUGGACUCGCGGCUUAUCAGCUUGUUGGUGGGGUAGUGGCUUACCAAGGCUUUGACGGGUAGCCGGCCUGAGAGGGUGACCGGCGACAUUGGGACUGAGAUACGGCCCAGACUCCUACGGGAGGCAGAAGUGGGGAAUAUUGCACAAUGGGCGGAAGCCUGAUGCAGCAACGCCGCGUGCGGGAUGACGGCCUUCGGGUUGUAAACCGCUUUCGCCUGUGACGAAGCGUGAGUGACGGUAAUGGGUAAAGAAGCACCGGCUAACUACGUG
rnacentral:rRNA from 1 species